CCUACGGGAGGCUGCAGUGGGGAAUAUUGCACAAUGGGGGAAACCCUGAUGCAGCAACGCCGCGUGAGUGAAGAAGUAUUUCGGUAUGUAAAGCUCUAUCAGCAGGGAAGAAGAUGACGGUACCUGAGUAAGAAGCCCCGGCUAACUACGUGCCAGCAGCCGCGGUAAUACGUAGGGGGCAAGCGUUAUCCGGAUGUACUGGGUGUAAAGGGAGCGUAGACGGCAGCACAAGUCUGGAGUGAAAUCCCGGGGCUUAACCCCGGAACUGCUUUGGAAACUGUGCGGCUGGAGUGCAGGAGGGGUAAGCGGAAUUCCUAGUGUAGCGGUGAAAUGCGUAGAUAUUAGGAGGAACACCGGUGGCGAAGGCGGCUUACUGGACUGUAACUGACGUUGAGGCUCGAAAGCGUGGGGAGCAAACAGGAUUAGAUACCCUUGUAGUC
rnacentral:rRNA from 1 species